rnacentral:rRNA from 1 species
UAGAGUUUGAUCAUGGCUCAGAGUGAACGCUGGCGGCAUGCCUAACACAUGCAAGUCGAACGGUAACAGGCCCGCAAGGGUGCUGACGAGUGGCGGACGGGUGAGGAAUACAUCGGAAUUUGCCCAGUCGUGGGGGAUAACGUAGGGAAACUUACGCUAAUACCGCAUACGACCUAACGGUGAAAGCGGGGGAUCGCAAGACCUCGCGCGGAUGGAUAAGCCGAUGUCGGAUUAGCUAGUUGGCGGGGUAAAGGCCCACCAAGGCGACGAUCCGUAGCUGGUCUGAGAGGAUGAUCAGCCACACUGGGACUGAGACACGGCCCAGACUCCUACGGGAGGCAGCAGUGGGGAAUAUUGCACAAUGGGCGGAAGCCUGAUGCAGCGACGCCGCGUGAGGGAUGAAGGCCUUCGGGUUGUAAACCUCUUUCAGCAGGGAAGAAGCGCAAGUGACGGUACCUGCAGAAGAAGCACCGGCUAACUACGUGCCAGCAGCCGCGGUAAAUCGCC